rnacentral:lncRNA from 1 species
CCCCCAAAAUCCCCCAAACUCCCCAAAUUUCCCUCAAAAAUUCCCAAAUUUCUCCCCAAAUUUCCCCCAACUCCCCCAAAUUUUCCCCAAAAUCCCCAAAUUUCCCCCCAAAUUCCCCAAAAAUUCCUUAAAAAUUCCCAAAUUUCCCCCAAAAUCCCCAAAAAUUCCCCAAAAAUUCCCAAAUUUCCCCCCAAAAUCCCUCCAAAAUCCCCCAAAAUUCCCAAAUUUUCCCCAAAAUCCCCAAAUUUCCCCCAAACUCUCUCAAAAAUCCCCAAAAAUUCCCCAAAAAUCCCCAAAUUUCCCCCCAAAUCCCCAAAAAUUCCCCAAAUUUCCCCAAAACCCCAAAUUUUCCCCAAAUCCCCCGAUUUCCCCCCAAAAUCUCCCGGAACGUUCCGGAACCGGCGCUUUUCCCGCAGCGCCGCCCCGGAGGAGUCGAGCUCGCGCUCGCCCUCCCCCAAACAGAAGAAGAAGAAGAAGAAGAAGGAUCGGGGCAGGUGGGUGGGGAAAUUCUGGGGGAAAAAUCGGGAGUUUUGGGAAAAUUUGGGGAUUUUUGGGGGAUUUUGGGCGAUUUUUGGGGAAAAUUUGGGGAUUUUGGGGGAAAUUUGGGGGAGUUUGGGGGAAAAUUUGGGGAUUUUUGGGAAAUUUUCGGGAUUUUUGGGGGAAAUUUGGGGAUUUUGGGGAAAUUUGGGGAAUUGUUGGGGGAAAUUUGGGGAAUUUUGGGGAAUUUUGGAGGAAAUUUGGGGAUUUUUGGGGAUUUUUUGGGAAAAUUUGGGGAUUUUUGGGGAAAUCUGAGAAUUUUUGGGGGGAAAUUUGGGGAUUUUUGAGGAAAUUUGGGAGAUUUUGGGGAAAAUUGGGUGAUUUUUGGGGGAUUUUUGUGGGAAUUUGGGGAGGAAUUUUGGGUCAAUUUUGGUCAAUUUUGGGGGAUUUUGGACUGAAUUUGGGGAGGAAUUUUGGGUCAAUUUUGGUCAAUUUUGGGGGAUUUUGGACUGAAUUUGAGGAGGAAUUUUGGGUCGAUUUUGGCCAAUUUUGGGGGAUUUUUUACUGAAUUUUGGGAAAAAUUUUGGGUCAAUUUUGGGGAGUUUUUGAGUGAAUUUGGGGAGGAAUUUUGGGUCGAUUUUGGGGGAUUUUUGUGGGAAUUUUAGGAGGAAUUUUGGGUCAGUUUUGGGGGAUUUUUGGCUGAAUUUGGGGAGAAAUUUUGGGUCAAUUUUGGGGGAUUUUUGAGUGAAUUUGGGGAGGAAUUUUGGGUCAAUUUUGGGGGAUUUUUGUGGGAAUUCGGGGAGGAAAUUUGGGUCAAUUUGGGUCGAUUUUGAGGGAUUUUUGUGGGAAUUUUGGGAGGAAUUUUGGGUCAAUUUUGGGGUAUUUUGGACUGAAUUUGGGGAGGAAUUUUGGGUCGAUUUUGGCCGAUUUUGGGGCUCUCCCCUCCC